rnacentral:lncRNA from 1 species
GAGGAGGAGCAUAAGGAAGAGGAGGAUAAGGAGGAAGAAGAAGAGAAUGAGGAGAAACAGGGCGGAGACUCCGAUGACGAGUGUAAGGAGGCUCACGCAGAAGAGGGGGAAGCUGAAGAAGAGAAAGGCAAGGAGGACCACAGAAAGAAGAGAGAGAGAAAAGGAAUCAAAGUGGCCGUAGUCGUCCCCGUGGCGGUCGCCAAAGCAUCUGGGAAAAAAUACUCAAAAAAGUCUGAAGACGCAGAGAACAGCGACAGCGAGGCUUCUGCCGGACAAGUCGACGAAGGGCGAAACCCAGAGACUGGAGUCUCUGACGCUGUCUGCCCACGGGAUGAACUCUCUUCUUCUGAAUUUAUGUCAGCG